rnacentral:rRNA from 1 species
UACGGGGGGGGCAAGCGUUGUUCGGAAUUACUGGGCGUAAAGGGCUCGUAGGUGGCCAACUAAGUCAGACGUGAAAUCCCUCAGCUUAACUGGGGAACUGCGUCUGAUACUGGAUGGCUUGAGUUUGGGAGAGGGAUGCGGAAUUCCAGGUGUAGCGGUGAAAUGCGUAGAUAUCUGGAGGAACACCGGUGGCGAAGGCGUCAUCCUGGACCAACACUGACACUGAUGAGCGAAAGCCAGGGGAGCAAACGGG